rnacentral:misc_RNA from 1 species
CAAGAAUGAAAACCAGAAACCUCUCCAAAUAUGCAUCGGCGACUAUAACAUGGCUGUUUCUGCUAUUAUAAUGGCAGACAACGACUUGAAUUCUGAGACCUUCUUUGAGUUGGCUGAUUUGGCCAACAAAGCUGCUGCCGCUGCUGAUGAUUGCGAGGCUGCCUUUAAAGGAAACCAGUCGCGACCAUUGGGAAACAAGAAUAAGGAUUUAAAG